GUGCUCACUUCAUCAGUAUAUAUACUAAAAUUGGAAUUAUACAGAAAAGAUUAAUGAGACCCUCAUGCAAGGAUAACACACAAAUUUGUGAAGCAUUUCAAAUUUUU